AUUUAAAGAAGAGAAGAAACUAGUUUUCAAGCCUGAAGUUCGCUGAUCCACAGCAGAUAAACAGAGAUACAAGUCGACAUGAAGAACAGGAGACUGGAUCAGAAAAAUAACCAUCAUACAUCUGGAAAGUAUCCACACCACCACAAAACCUUUUCCAUAUUUUAUGUUGUAGCCUUAUUUUAAAUUUGUCCCCCCCCCC